rnacentral:lncRNA from 1 species
GCUUAUAUUUAUCGUGUGGAGGUUUAUGUUCACCACCUGGUGGCUUAUAUUCAUCGUGUGGGGGUUUAUGUCCAUCACCUGGAGGCUUAUAUUCACCAUGUGGGGGUUUAUAUCCACCACCUGGAGAUUUAUAUUCACCGUGUGGGGGUUUAUAUCCGCCACCUGGAGGUUUAUAUCCACUACCUGGAGGUUUAUAUCCAUUGUUGUAUUCGUCAUGUGGGGGUUUAUAUCCGUUAUAUCUGCUACGUCCGUCAGUAUGUUCGUAAUUCUUGUUAUCUGAUUC